UCCCGGACAACGCCGAGUCCUGCCCCGUUCAGGGAGCGUCCCGUGACCCGGACACAGGGGCAGGAGUGGGGGACCCACAGGUUCCACGCGAGGUCGGUCGAGAGGCCGUCCCGCUCGGGGUGAAGUCAUCAUGCGAUGGCAGGACACUUUCCAGUCCCAACCCGACAGCUCACCUCACAGGCGUGGGAAAGGAAAC
rnacentral:sRNA from 2 species